rnacentral:rRNA from 1 species
CCUACGGGGGGCUGCAGUGGGGAAUAUUGCACAAUGGGGGAAACCCUGAUGCAGCCAUGCCGCGUGUGUGAAGAAGGCCUUCGGGUUGUAAAGCACUUUCAGCGAGGAGGAAAGGUUGGCGCCUAAUACGUGUCAACGGUGACGUUACUAGCAGAAGACGCACCGGCUAACUCCGUGCCAGCAGCCGCGGUAAUACGGAGGGUGCAAGCGUUAAACGGAAUUACUGGGCGUAAAGCGCACGCAGGCGGAUGGACAAGUUAGCUGUGAAAGCCCCGGGGUCAACCUGGGAAUUGCAUUUAAAACUGUCCAGCUAGAGUAUUGUAGAGGGGGGUAGAAUUCCAGGUGUAGCGGUGAAAUGCUUAGAGAUCUGGAGGAAUACCGGUGGCGAAGGCGGCCCCCUGGACAAAGACUGACGCUCAGGUGCGAAAGCGUGGGGAGCAAACAGGAUUAGAUACCCCUGUAGUC